AGAGUUUGAUCCUGGCUCAGGACGAACGCUGGCGGCGUGCUUAACACAUGCAAGUCGAACGAGAAUUAAUAAGAAGCUUGCUUCUUAUAAUUCGAGUGGCAAACGGGUGAGUAACGCGUAAGCAACCUGCCCUUCAGAUGGGGACAACAGCUGGAAACGGCUGCUAAUACCGAAUACGUUCUUUUUGUCGCAUGGCAGAGGGAAGAAAGGGAGGCUCUUCGGAGCUUUCGCUGAAGGAGGGGCUUGCGUCUGAUUAGCUAGUUGGAGGGGUAACGGCCCACCAAGGGCGACGAUCAGUAGCCGGUCUGAGGAGGAUGAACGGCCACCAUUGGGACUGAGACACGGCCCAGACUCCUACGGGAGGCUGCA
rnacentral:rRNA from 1 species